rnacentral:rRNA from 1 species
UGCCUUACACAUGCAAGUCGAACGGCAGCACGGAGCUUGCUCUGGUGGCGAGUGGCGAACGGGUGAGUAAUAUAUCGGAACGUACCCAGGGGUGGGGGAUAACGUAGCGAAAGUUACGCUAAUACCGCAUACGCUCUACGGAGGAAAGCAGGGGAUCGCAAGACCUUGCGCGCUUGGAGCGGCCGAUAUCUGAUUAGCUAGUUGGUGGGGCAAAGGCUCACCAAGGCAACGAUCAGUAGCUGGUCUGAGAGGACGACCAGCCACACUGGGACUGAGACACGGCCCAGACUCCUACGGGGGGCAGCAGUGGGGAAUUUUGGACAAUGGGGGCAACCCUGAUCCAGCAAAUGCCGCGUGAGUGAAGAAGGCCUUCGGGUUGUAAAGCUC